rnacentral:rRNA from 1 species
UACGAAGGGGGGCUAGCGUUGCUCGGAAUCACUGGGCGUAAAGGGUGCGUAGGCGGGUCUUUUAAGUCAGGGGUGAAAUCCUGGAGCUCAACUCCAGAACUGCCUUUGAUACUGGGGAUCUCGAGUCCGGAAGAGGUGAGUGGAACUCCGAGUGUAGAGGUGAAAUUCGUAGAUAUUCGGAAGAACACCAGUGGCGAAGGCGGCUCACUGGUCCGGUACUGACGCUGAGGUGCGAAAGCGUGGGGAGCAAACAGG